rnacentral:rRNA from 1 species
UACGUAGGGUGCAAGCGUUGUCCGGAAUUAUUGGGCGUAAAGAGCUCGUAGGCGGUCUGGCGCGUCGGCUGUGAAAUCCCGAGGCUCAACCUCGGGUCUGCAGUCGAUACGGGCAAACUAGAGUAUUGCAGGGGAGACUGGAAUUCCUGGUGUAGCGGUGAAAUGCGCAGAUAUCAGGAGGAACACCGGUGGCGAAGGCGGGUCUCUGGGCCGAUACUGACGCUGAGGAGCGAAAGCGUGGGGAGCGAACAGG